rnacentral:rRNA from 1 species
CAGCCAAUUCAUUAUCGUACUACGACCGGGGAGUACGGUAGCAAGACUGAAACUUCUAAGGAAUUGACGGGGGCCCGCACAAGCUGUGGAGCAUGUGGUUUAAUUCGAAGCAACGCGAAGAACCUUACCAGGUCUUGACAUCCUCUGACAACCCUAGAGAUAGGGCUUUCCCUUCGGGGACAGAGUGACAGGUGGUGCAUGGUUGUCGUCAGCUCGUGUCGUGAGAUGUUGGGUUAAGUCCCGCAACGAGCGCAACCCUUGAUCUUAGUUGCCAGCAUUUAGUUGGGCACUCUAAGGUGACUGCCGGUGACAAACCGGAGGAAGGUGGGGAUGACGUCAAAUCAUCAUGCCCCUUAUGACCUGGGCUACACACGUGCUACAAUGGACAGAACAAAGGGCUGCGAGACCGCAAGGUUUAGCCAAUCCCACAAAUCUGUUCUCAGUUCGGAUCGCAGUCUGCAACUCGACUGCGUGAAGCUGGAAUCGCUAGUAAUCGCGGAUCAGCAUGCCGCGGUGAAUACGUUCCCGGGCCUUGUACACACCGCCCGUCACACCACGAGAGUUUGCAACACCCGAAGUCGGUGAGGUAACCUUUAUGGAGCCAGCCGCCGAAGGGGGCAG